rnacentral:rRNA from 1 species
CUGCCUGGUAGUGGGGGAUAACGUUCGGAAACGGACGCUAAUACCGCAUACGUCCUACAGGAGAAAGCAGGGGACCUUCAGGCCUUGCGCUUUCACAUGAGCCUAAGUCGGAUUAGCUUUUUGGUGAGGUAAUGGCUCACCAAGGCGACGAUCCCUAUCUGGUCUGAGAGGAUGAUCAUUCUCACUGGAACUGAAACACGGUCCAGACUCCUACUGGAGGCAGCAGUGGGGAAUAUUGGACAAUGGGCGAAAGCCUGAUCCAGCCAUGCCCCGUGUGUGAGGAAGGUCUUCGGAUUGUAAAGCACUUUACCUUGGGAGGAAGGGUUGUAGAUUAAUACUCUGCAAUUUUGACGUUACCGACACAAUAAGCACCGGCUAACUCUGUGUCAGCAGCCGCAGUAAUACAGAUGGUGCAAGCGUUAAUCGUAAUUACUGGUCGUAAAGCUCGCGUAUGUGGUUUGUUAAGUUGGAUGUGAAAUCCCCGGGCUCGACCUGGGAACUGCAUUCGCAACUGACUGACUAGAGUAUGGUAGAGGGUGAUGGAAUUUCAUGUGUAGCUGUGAAAUGCAUAUAUAUAGAAAGGAACACCAAUGGCGAAGGCGACCGCCUGGACUAAUACUGACACUGAGGUGCGAAAGCGUGAGGAGCAAACACGAUUAGAUUCCCUGGUAGUGCACGCCGUANACGAUGUCGACUAGCA